CAGACUGGUCUUCAACUCCUGACCUCGUGAUCCACCCUGCUGGGAUUACAGGCGUGAGCCACUGCGUGUGGCCUCUGGGCACCUUUUGAAGGUGGGAGGUGGCGGUGGGCUGGGGCGGCCUCUGGGAAGGGCAGGCGGCCUUGGCCAGGCCCCUCACCGCCGCCCCCACAGCCAGAUGAGAAGUACGACGUGGGAGACAGGGAGCACUUGGAUACCCUCAGGGACCCAGUGGAGCCCGACGAUGGAGAAGGCGGGGGCUGUUGUGCACCUCAAGCAGGUAUCAGAAGCAGAGCGAAGGCAGCAUACCUCAGCGUUUUCUUCUCUGCACUUACAAGAAAGAUCAAAGACUUUAAGACUUUCACUAUUCCUUCUACCGCUAUCUACUACGCACUUCAAAGAGGAACCAGGAGUACGGGAGGAGCAUGAAAGUGGACAAGGAGCGUGACCGUUGAAGCACAGCACCACAGGGAGGGGUUUCGGCCUCCGGAUGACUGGUGGGCAGGCCUGGAUAAUAUCCAGCCUCCCACAAGAAGCUGGUGGAGCAGAGCGUUCCCUGACUCCUCCAAGCAAAGGAGACUCCCUUUCGCGGUCUGCUAAGUAACGGGUGCCUUCCCAGACACUGGCGUUACCACUUGACCAAGGAGCCCUCACGCGGCCCUUAUGUGGGCGUGACACAGGGCUCAUCUCUUGCCUUCUAGGUCACUUCUCACAAUGUCCCUUCAGCACCUGACCCUACACCCACCCGUUAUUCCUAGGUUAUAUUAGUAAUGCAACAAGGAGUAAUAUUAAAAGCUAAUGAUUUUUUUUUUUUUUUGAGACGAAGUCUGGCUCUGUCGCCCAGGCUGGA